AGCGAACGAGUACCGUGAGGGAAAGGUGAAAAGUACCCCGGGAGGGGAGUGAAACAGUCUCUGAAACCGUGCGCCUACAAUCCGUCGGAGCCCUUUUGUGGGGUGACGGCGUGCCUAUCGAAAAAUGAGUCUGCGAGUCAGUGGCAUGUGGCGAGCAUAACCCGUGUGGGGUAUGCGUAGCGAAGGCGAGUCUUAAAAGGCGUUUGAGUCGCGUGUCCUGGACCCGAAGCGGGAUGAUCUAGCCCUGAGCAGGUUGAAGCGCGGGUAAGACCGCGUGGAGGACCGAACCCACCUGGGUUGAAAACCGGGGGGAUGACUUGGGGCUAGGGGUGAAAGGCCAAUCAAAUUCCGUGAUAGCUGGUUCUCUCCGAAAUGCAUUUGGGUGCAGCGUCGGGUCAUUACGUCCCGGGGGUAGAGCUACUGGAUGCUUGCGGGCCCGUAUCGGGUACCAACAGCAACCAAACUCCGAAUACCGGUGACGCGUAUCCCGGCAGUGAGUCGGCGGGGGAUAAGCUUCGUCGUCGAAAGGGAAACAGCCCAGACCGUCGUCUAAGGUCCCGAAGCGUGUGCUAAGUGGGAAAGGAUGUGGAGUCGCAUAGACAGCCAGGAGGUUGGCUCAGAAGCAGCCACCCUUGAAAGAGUGCGUAACAGCUCACUGGUCUAGUGGUUCCGCGCCGACAAUGUAGCGGGGCUCAAGCACACCACCGAAGACGCGGCAGUAUUUUGUACUGGGUAGGAGAGCGUCCCAUGAGGGGCGAAGCGGCCGUGUGAACGCGCCGUGGACUUCAUGGGAGUGAGAAUGCAGACAUGAGUAGCGAGAGACGGGUGAAGAUCCCGUCCGCUGGAUGACCAAGGGUUCCAGGGCCACGUUCAUCGUCCCUGGGUGAGUCGGGUCCUAAGGCGAGGCCGACAGGCGUAGUCGAAUGGAUGAACGGGUCGAUAUUCCCGUACCGGCUUUCAGCCGCCAAAACCGAGGCUUGGAGUACUAACCUCCGGGUCCGGGCUUACUGCUCCUUCGGGGGCGGGAUGCCCUGGCCUGUUGGGACCGAUCCUUGUAGUAGGUCAGCGCAGGAGUGACGCAGAAGGGUAGCCGGCCGCGGAGGUGGUCUUCCGUGGUCAAGCACGCAGGGCGUGGGACAGGCAAAUCCGUCCCGCAUGGGUCCGAGGUGCGAUGAUGGGGGCCUUAUGGCCCGAUAUCCGGUGAUCCCGGCUGCCGAGAAAAGCUUCGGCGUCAGGCUCAAAGCCGCCCGUACCCCAAACCGACACUGGUGGUCAGGUAGAGAAUACCAAAGCGAUCGAGCGAAUCCUGGUCAAGGAACUCGGCAAAUCACUCCCGUUCCUUCGGUUUAAGGGAGACCCCCGAUGGUGAACACACUUGCUGUGGGAGCUUUUGGGGGUGGCACAGACCAGGGGGUAGCGACUGUUUACCAAAAACACAGGUGCAUGCGAAGGCGCAAGCCGCUGUAUAUGCACUGACGCCUGCCCGGUGCCGGAAGGUUAAGAGGAUCCGUCAGCCUUCGGGUGAAGCGGUGAAUUCAAGCCCCGGUAAACGGCGGUGGUAACUAUAACCAUCCUAAGGUAGCGAAAUUCCUUGUCGGGUAAGUUCCGACCUGCACGAAUGGCGUAACGACUUCCCCACUGUCUCGACCAGGAGCUCGGCGAAAUUGCAGUACGAGUAAAGAUGCUCGUUAAGCGCAGAAGGACGAAAAGACCCCGGGACCUUUACUAUACCUUGGUAUUGGCAUUCGGUGUGGAUUGUGUAGCAUAGGCGGGAGGCCGAGAGGCGCGGUCGCCAGAUCGCGCGGAGCCGUAAGGUGAAAUACCGCUCUGUUCGCAUUGGAUGUCUAACCUCGAACAGUCAUCCUGUUCAGGGACAGUGCCUGGCGGGUAGUUUAACUGGGGCGGUUGCCUCCCAAAGAGUAACGGAGGCGCCCAAAGGUCCGCUCAGCCCGGUUGGCAAUCGGGUGGCGAGUGCAAGUGCACAAGCGGGCUUGACUGCGAGGACGACGGUCCGAGCAGGGACGAAAGUCGGGACUAGUGAUCCGGUGCCGGUGUACGGACGCGGCAUCGCUCAACGGAUAAAAGGUACCCCGGGGAUAACAGGCUGAUCAUUCCCAAGAGUCCAUAUCGACGGGAUGGUUUGGCACCUCGAUGUCGGCUCGUCGCAUCCUGGGGCUGGAGCAGGUCCCAAGGGUUCGGCUGUUCGCCGAUUAAAGCGGCACGCGAGCUGGGUUCAGA
rnacentral:rRNA from 1 species